rnacentral:rRNA from 1 species
UACGUAGGGUGCGAGCGUUAAUCGGAAUUACUGGGCGUAAAGCGCGCGUAGGCGGACCUGCAAGUCGGGGGUGAAAGCCCGAGGCUCAACCUCGGAACUGCCUUCGAUACUGCGGGUCUCGAGUCCGGGAGAGGUGAGUGGAAUUCCUAGUGUAGAGGUGAAAUUCGUAGAUAUUAGGAAGAACACCAGUGGCGAAAGGCGGCUCACUGGCCCGGUACUGACGCUGAGGCGCGAAAGCGUGGGGAGCAAACAGG